AUGGCUCAGGAUGAACGCUAGCGGCAGGCUUAACACAUGCAAGUCGAGGGGCAACGCGAGUAGCAAUACUUGGCGGCGACCGGCGCAAGGGUGCGUAACGCGUGAGCAACAUGCCCGUAUCAGGGGGAUAAUCCAGGGAAACUUGGUCUAAUACCCAUAGUAAUUUUGUAAGGCAUCUUAUAAGAUUUAAAGCUUUGGUGGAUACGGAUUGGCUCGCGUGACAUUAGCUGGAUGGUAAGGUAACGGCUUACCAUGGCUAUGAUGUCUAGGGGUUCUGAGAGGAAGGUCCCCCACACUGGAACUGAGACACGGUCCAGACUCCUACGGGAGGCAGCAGUGAGGAAUAUUGGACAAUGGAUGGAAAUCUGAUCCAGCCAUGCCGCGUGAAGGAAGAAAGGUCCUAUGGAUUGUAAACUUCUUUUGUAUGGGAGCAAUAAGGCCUACGUGUAGGUUGAUGAGAGUACCAUACGAAUAAGCACCGGCUAACUCCGUGCCAGCAGCUGC
rnacentral:rRNA from 1 species